UACGGAGGGUGCAAACGUUGUCCGGAUUUAUUGGGUUUAAAGGGUGCGUAGGCGGCUCAUUAAGUCUGGGGUGAAAGCCCGUUGCUCAACAACGGAACUGCCCUGGAAACUGGUGGGCUUGAGUACAGACGAGGUUGGCGGAAUGGAUGCUGUAGCGGUGAAAUGCAUAGAUAGCAUCCAGAACCCCGAUUGCGAAGGCAGCUGACUAGGCUGUAACUGACGCUGAGGCACGAAAGCGUGGGGAGCGAACAGG
rnacentral:rRNA from 1 species